ACGGCUCAGUAACACGUAGUCAACCUAACCUAUGGACGGGAAUAACCUCGGGAAACUGAGAAUAAUGCCCGAUAGAACACUAUACCUGGAAUGGUUUGUGUUCCAAAUGAUUUAUCGCCAUAGGAUGGGACUGCGGCCUAUCAGUUUGUUGGUGAGGUAAUGGCCCACCAAGACUAUUACAGGUACGGGCUCUGAGAGGAGUAGCCCGGAGAUGGGUACUGAGACACGGACCCAGGCCCUAUGGGGCGCAGCAGGCGAGAAAACUUUGCAAUGUGCGAAAGCACGACAAGGUUAAUCCGAGUGAUUUGUGCUAAACGAAUCUUUUGUUAGUCCUAGAAACACUAACGAAUAAGGGGUGGGCAAGUUCUGGUGUCAGCCGCCGCGGUAAAACCAGCACCUCAAGUGGUCAGGAUGAUUAUUGGGCCUAAAGCAUCCGUAGCCGGCUCUGUAAGUUUUCGGUUAAAUCUGUACGCUUAACGUACAGGCUGCCGGGAAUACUGCAGAGCUAGGGAGUGGGAGAGGUAGACGGUACUCGGUAGGAAGUGGUAAAAUGCUUUGAUCUAUCGAUGACCACCUGUGGCGAAGGCGGUCUACCAGAACACGUCCGACGGUGAGGGAUGAAAGCUGGGGGAGCAAACCGGAUUAGAUACCCGGGUAGUCCCAGCUGCAAACUAUGCAAACUCAGUGAUGCAUUGGCUUGUGGCCAAUGCAGUGCUGCAGGGAAGCCGUUAAGUUUGCCGCCUGGGAAGUACGUACGCAAGUAUGAAACUUAAAGGAAUUGGCGGGGGAGCAC
rnacentral:rRNA from 1 species